rnacentral:rRNA from 1 species
ACGAACGCUGGCGGCGUGCUUAACCCAUGCAAGUCGAACGGUGAAGCGCCUUCCUUUUUGGUGGGUGUGGAUGAGUGGCGAACGGGUGAGUAACACGUGAGUAACCUGCCCCCUUCUUCUGGAUAACCGCAUGAAAGUGUGGCUAAUACGGGAUAUUCUGGGUCUGUCGCAUGAUGGGUCUGGGAAAGAUAUUGUUUCGGUGGGGGAUGGGCUCGCGGCCUAUCAGCUUGUUGGUGGGGUGAUGGCCUACCAAGGCGGUGACGGGUAGCCGGCCUGAGAGGGUGGACGGUCACACUGGGACUGAGACACGGCCCAGACUCCUACGGGAGGCAGCAGGGGGGAAUAUUGCACAAUGGGCGCAAGCCUGAUGCAGCGACGCCGCGUGAGGGAUGGAGGCCUUCGGGUUGUGAACCUCUUUCGCCAGUGAAGCAGGCCUGCCUCGUUUGUGGGUGGGUUGACGGUAGCUGGAUAAGAAGCGCCGGCUAACUACGUG